UCUUCGACACCAAUCUCGUCGUGGCUUAAAUUUCGUACCAUACUUGGGAUGCCUCUUCCGAACGAGAUAAAAUUGGCUCGAUCCAGCUAGGGUUCCGUGAAUUGCCCAUGGAUGUUCGCCUUCUUGCUAUUUCGUGAUUCUUAAUGGUUCUGGAAACUUGUUUCGAAAGUUUUGGAUCGAUUUAGAAGGUAAUUCCGAGUGUUGGUGAUCGUAGAACCUGGUAUCAGAUGCUCGAUGCCGUAAAGUUGCCUGCUUUAUGGGGUGUGUGAUUCUGGGGUUAUGAAGAACAUACUCCUGUGCUCUUUGGCGGGGUCACAUUUACCUUUUUGUUGGGUUCAGGAUCUAUCCCACCGACUAAUAGGUUUCAAUGCAGUUGAAAUGACUGAAGAAGGCACAGCUACAUGCGGACGGUGCAAGGGAAGAAGCAAACCAAAGGACACCGAUGGACUGGAGAAAAGCAAAGGCAAGAAGGAUGUGAACGAAGAUGACCAUGUUUUAGAAGAGGGUGGAGAAGAAAAGAAGGAAGGUGAAGCAGAAGAGGAUGGCGAGGAAGAGAAGGCGAAACCAAAGAGGGAGGGGGAGGAAAAAAAGGAAGGUGAAAUAGAAGAUGAUGGAGAUAAAAAGAAGGAAGGGGAAGUAGAUGGGGAUGAAAUAAAGGGAAGGCGGAGAUGGGGAGAAGGAAGGUGAAGAAGUAGAAGAUGGAGACGAAAUGAAGAAAGGUGAAGUAAAAGAAAAUGGAGACAAAAAGAAGAAAGAUAAAGAAGUGAUCGAUGGUGAAGGAAAUGAGGAUGGAUGGCCGACAACACACGACAGAUUUGGAAUGUGUGGGCGGAGAAAAAGAGGCCACCGAGAUAGUAAAUACAGUAGAAAAUGGUGGAUGUAGAUGACGUCAAAGAUGAAGAAAAAGAUCGCCACGGUAAUUAUCACGGUGGACCUGCACUGCUGCACCUGCUCCAAGAAGAUCAAGAAAACUCUGUGCAAGCUCCAAAACCGGUUCAACAUCGAAUCAAUUGUCUACGACGAGAAGAAGAACACCAUCACAGUAUCCGGCCCCUUCAACCCUGACUGCUUCAUCAAGAAGCUUCGCUGCCUCGCCUGCAAGGUGAUCAUAUGUGUCCAGAUCAAGCCGAAGCCGAAACCCGACAAACCACCGCCACCGCCGCCGCCGCCGCCUAAGGUGGAGGUGGAGGUGAAUUUAGACGUGUGUGUUUUCCCGCCUCCGGGGUAGCCCAACUGCUGUGCCUGCCGUCCCUGUCGCGAGUUUGACGGCUGCAGGAUCAUCGUCGAGCAGGAGCCUUGUCAGUCCUGCUCUAUUAUGUAGUUUCCUAUACGUAUUCUUAUUCUCGUUGCAAGAUGUUAUUGGGUAAGAGAUAACGGAUAAGAAGGCGGACAGAGGUCAACGUCAUGUGACUUCCUCUGUCAGCAAUGUACGUAUGUGAUGAUAUAUAUGUUUAUGCUGUUAUAUCUCA